rnacentral:lncRNA from 1 species
AGAAAGACAACGAAAGCACGAAAACACACUCCAAAUCAGUCCACUAAUCUUAAGGAUCCAAGGACCUUUUUGGAGACCACUCUCGGAUUCACUACAACAAUAACAAUAAGAGAUAACAAUGGUGUAUUUGACAUCAAAGCAGACACCACAAACUAACAAAGAGAGUAUCAAGAUAACAAGAUGAAGAACAAGAUGAAUAAUAACACAACGGAAACAACAACACACAUUUUUUGACUAGAACAACAACAAAGUGUACAAGAAAUGUAAAGUAGAUAGAUAGACAAAGUGAAGGUAUAAUCUUAAGAACCCAAGAGCCUAUUCCACUCUUGGACCCUUAACAAUACACACUACAAAUACUUAUCUCUCCGAUGAGCACAAGAGAGACCUCAACCUCCUCUAGCACCCAACGUUCCAAGCAUGAAUCCAACACGAAUGAUUCCACACUCAAGUUGGAAAUCCUAGUUACAAUGUUUUGGCCAUAGGCCUUUCUCANNNNNNNNNNNNNNNNNNNNNNNNNNNNNNNNNNNNNACAUCUAAGACUAAAAACCCUAAGAGGUUCUAUAUAUAGUGUAUUACAAAAUAGAAUACAAAAUGACUACAAUACCCCUCAAGGGUGAGGUGCCCAUCAAGUGUAACUUAGGGGCUGUUUUAGUGCAUUUAGGCCCUCUUUCACACUUUCCUUGUGCACUUCCUUGGACAGAUUUAAUACGCACUCAUUCUUAUCCAUCCUCGUGGUCAAAAUCGUAUCAUCCUCCCCUUCUUGAAAAGGAUUCGACCUCGAAUCCAUAUCUUGUAAAUCAAGAGAAAACAAACAAGUACACAUCCUCAUGAUAUGAGGGGUUUAGGUUAGCAAAAAUAACACAUCAACAUGACAUGCCGAGGAGGGAUAAAUUUGUAGUAUAGCCACGGGUCCUUUGUUUUAAUCAUGAAAAAAUUAGUACAAUUGCUACAAAGGAAGUAGCUCGGACAAGCAUCAAGACAAAAGAAAAAUAGGCCGAGAGUCAUCCUUUCCCACCAUAAGAUGGUACAGGGAUCAAAUGGAAGAAUUAGCCAAGGGCCUAAGCCGAGGCUAGCCCUUCCUUCCCCUAGAAUGUCACUCCCAUAUUUACACACAAAAACAUUUUCAUACACAUGAUCUCUAUGAACAAAACUAACCGCAAUGCUUUUACCACACAAGAUGUUCAAAGAGUCAUUCACAUUAUCAAGAUCAAUUCUAUAGACACCAUCACUAACUUGCGAAUUUUUAAGCACUACAUUCACAUGCUCAAGUAGUGAGCUACAUUUAAGAGUAAAUUGAUCAUCAUGAACACCAAGAGUACUACUAAGAGUACUCAUUUCCGAGACUACACAUUCCUUGCCCAUAAGAGUACUAUCAUCUUCCAAGAAGAAAUUUCCAUCUUUAGGAGAAAUGUUGUCAUACCAUAGUGGGUUAGCAUAUCAGCUAUAGCCUUCAAGGCAAGCUAAACCAUCAUUUUCACCACUAGGUUCAUUAGGAGUGUUUAUAUCUUCUUCAAACAAAAUAUUAAACCUAAAGAGAGCAUGAUCUAUCUCAAGGACAAAUUUGGAACUAGCAAGUGUUUCACUCUCUAUAAGUUCACUAUCAAGUACCAAAGAUGUUUUAAUCUCCUCUUUACCUUGGUGUGGGUCGGGGCAGCCCACCUCUUCCUUCGGAAAGCUGUCGGCACAAGGUUUUUGGACAAGGAAAGUUGGAUUUUGUGGGAUAAGUUUAGGUAACAAUUGACGAUCACAUGUGGCAUUGAAAUUAUGGGCAGCCAUUGUACCUAACAAAAAGACACAACAAACAAAGAAAACAAACAAACUUGUUAGAUUCAAAAUGCCUCACCACACUCUCACUCUCGAUUUUACCUCACACUUGGUUUCAUAAGUGUUGAAAGUCAGCUUGUACUUCGUGAGUGAUUGAAGGAUGAGUCCAUCUUUGCCUGGAAUAGAUUUUCGUUUGAUCUGACUCAAAAGAAAUAUUGUUUACGGACUUGAACCAACAAGAUACAACGAAUUCACAAAAAAGAAAAAAAGCACACAACAAACACUAAACACAAAUGAACGAGCACAAAGACUAACUAACAAUCUAGUAGAUGAGUACUAGUUUGCCAUUAGUAUUGGAACCAACAAAUGAAACUAUGGAACAAUAAAAAGAAACUAAGAAAAUCUGAAAUUUGAGCCAAAAUUUAAUGUGUGAAUAGUAACUUGAUGAUGUGGCGGCCACGUAUUGGUUGCGGUUUCUACAAUUUUUAUUUUCCAAAGUCUAAGUCUUGACCAAUUUUAAUUUGGAUUGGUGAAAUUUAUUUUAAGGAGGGAAGAAUAAGUCUUGGAGCCUUUUUUUCAAGUUUCUCAUUUCAAGACUUGACUUUUGUAGUACUUUUCCUUAAAACAUGGACCCUUGUUUCAUGGGAAAGUGGUUGAGAAGUGAUGUAAAGUCUUUAGUGUGUAGGAAAAGUCUUUGAUUCACAAGUACUACACCUUGAAACUUGGAUCUAUGUCUUGCAAGACUAACACAAUACAUACUCUUUUUCUUCAACUUCUAAGAUCAACAACCACUUUUUUUUCAACAANNNNNNNNNNNNNNNNNNNNNNNNNNNNNNNNNNNNUUGAAGUUCUAAGGUUCAAGUUGGACCUCCCAAACAACAACAACAACAACUUCCCAAGCUUAAAUUCCACAACAUAAUAUCCACAAUACACAUUCAAAACUUGAACCAACAACAUAUCACACGUUCAAGUCUUGAACCCGCAACAACAAUACCAACAACAAUCGGCCACACUUUGUUCACAUUAACAACAUCAACAUUUCAAGCUCAAAUCUAAGAUAUAGACUCAAUGUGUUAGUGUGGAACAAAACUAACACUUAGAGACAACAAAGACACGUAAAAAUAUUGGCCAAUACACAACAAAAACACAAUUUUCGGCCAAAAACACUAAAUGGACAGAUUGGUCUUUUUUUCUGGAAUUUUCAGUUUUUCAACAAUAAUUUUUUUUUUUAAAUUUUCUAACAAGCAAGCCCAAGAUUGAUCUUGUAGGAACAAGAUCAAGCCGUGCUCUGAUACCAAAUGAUACGAGAAAGACAACGAAAACACGAAAACACACUCCAAAUCAGUCCACUAAUCUUAAGGAUCUACGGACCUUUUUGGAGACCACUCUCGGAUUCACUACAACAACAACAAUACGAGAUAACAAUGGUGUAUUUGACACCAAAACAGCCACCACAAACUAACAAAGAGAGUAUCAAGAUAACAAGAUGAAGAACAAGAUGAAAAAUAACACAAUGGAAACAACAA